rnacentral:rRNA from 1 species
UGCGUAGGCGGUCGGCUAAGUCUGAUGUGAAAUCUCCGGGCUCAACCCGGAAACUGCAUCGGAGACUAGUCGGCUAGAGGAUUGGAGGGGGGACUGGAAUUCUCGGUGUAGCAGUGAAAUGCGUAGAUAUCGAGAGGAACACCAGUGGCGAAGGCGAGUCCCUGGACAAUUCCUGACGCUGAGGCACGAAAGCUAGGGGAGCAAACA